GAUGAACGCUGGCGGCGUGCCUAAUACAUGCAAGUCGAGCGAACAGACCAGGAGCUUGCUCCUCUGACGUUAGCGGCGGACGGGUGAUUAACACGUGGAUAACCUACCUAUCAGACUGGGAUAACUUCGGGAAACCGUAUCUACUACCGGAUAAUUUAUUGAACCGCAUUGUUCAAUCGUUAAAUUCGGUUUUUCUGUCACUUAUAGAUUGAUCCGCGUCACAUUAGCUAGUUGGUAAGGUAACGGCUUAACAAGGCAACGAGGCGUAACCGACAUGAGAGGGUGAACGGCGACACUGGAAGUGAGACACGGUCCAGACUCAGACGCGAGGACGCAGUAGGGAAUCUUCCGAAAUGAGGGAAAGCCUGACGGAGCAACGCCGAGUGAAUGAUGAAGGUCUAAGGACCCUAAAAUUAUGUUAUUAGGGAAGAACAAAUGUGUAAGUAACUAUGCACGUAUUGACGGUACCUAAUCAGAAAGCCACGGCUAACUACGUG
rnacentral:rRNA from 1 species